CUACGGGAGGCAGCAGUGGGGAAUAUUGCACAAUGGGCGAAAGCCUGAUGCAGCGACGCCGCGUGCGGGAUGACGGCCUUCGGGUUGUAAACCGCUUUCAGCAGGGAAGAAGCGCAAGUGACGGUACCUGCAGAAGAAGCACCGGCUAACUACGUGCCAGCAGCCACGGUAAUACGUAGGGUGCGAGCGUUGUCCGGAAUUAUUGGGCGUAAAGAGCUUGUAGGCGGUUUGUCGCGUCUGCUGUGAAAAUCCGGGACUCAAUUCCGGACUUGCAGUGGGUACGGGCAGACUAGAGUACGGUAGGGGAGACUGGAAUUCCUGGUGUAGCGGUGAAAUGCGCAGAUAUCAGGAGGAACACCGAUGGCGAAGGCAGGUCUCUGGGCCGUAACUGACGCUGAGAAGCGAAAGCAUGGGGAGCGAACAGGAUUAGAAACCCGGGUAGUCC
rnacentral:rRNA from 1 species